rnacentral:lncRNA from 1 species
AAAAAUUGAGCUUAACAGAUCGUAUCUAAAAUGGUUGUUCGAUCAAGUUCAUUGCACCAUGGGAAGACUCUGUUGAGUUGGCAUGGUUUGCUUUUGAAUGAGUGCCUCAAGAGCUUCAUGAAGGAGAUGGAAGCAAUCUGGAUUAGUAGUAAGUGUGAUUGUUAUGCAAUUGGCGAUUAGUCGCUUCUCUGUUCCCUUUUCUCAUUCCCUCUCCACAACUUGUAACCAACUUUGCUGAGUCAUCAUUCUCAUUCUCCUUAGUUAUUUCUUUCAUAACAAAGUCUUACCAUUUCAUGACCACAUAAAAGAUAUAAUAAUGAAGCUCUACAAGUAAUUAUACAAAUAUUUAGAGCCUUAAGCUUCUGAGAAUUAAUAAACAUAGGGCAUCCUCUUAAACUUCGAUUUCCAAAACAUCUCUAAUCACAUGAAUGUAUAGAGAUGGAGUUUGGCGAUUUAUUUUGUGACCAUUUUAUUAAAUUAAUGUUAUCUACUUUUAGCGAUCAACUUAGCAACUGAUUUGGAGACAUA